rnacentral:rRNA from 1 species
CACGUAGGCGGGAACUUAAGUCAGGUGUGAAAGACCGUGGCUCAACCACGGGGUGGCAUUUGAAACUGGGUUUCUUGAGGGCAGGAGAGGAAAGCAGAAUUCCUGGUGUAGCGGUGAAAUGCGUAGAAAUCAGGAGGAAUACCAGUGGCGAAGGCGGCUUUCUGGACUGACCCUGACGCUGAGGUGCGAAAGCGUGGGUAGCAAACAG